rnacentral:rRNA from 1 species
GUUGCCUCGGCGGAUCAGCCCGCUCCCGGUAAAACGGGACGGCCCGCCAGAGGACCCCUAAACUCUGUUUCUAUAUGUAACUUCUGAGUAAAACCAUAAAUAAAUCAAAACUUUCAACAACGGAUCUCUUGGUUCUGGCAUCGAUGAAGAACGCAGCAAAAUGCGAUAAGUAAUGUGAAUUGCAGAAUUCAGUGAAUCAUCGAAUCUUUGAACGCACAUUGCGCCUGCCAGUAUUCUGGCGGGCAUGCCUGUUCGAGCGUCAUUUCAACCCUCAAGCACAGCUUGGUGUUGGGACUCGCGUUAAUUCGCGUUCCCCAAAUUGAUUGGCGGUCACGUCGAGCUUCCAUAGCGUAGUAGUAAAACCCUCGUUACUGGUAAUCGUCGCGGCCACGCCGUUAAACCCCAACUUCUGAAUGUUGACCUCGGAUCAGGUAGGAAUA